AUGGAAUGGAGCUGGAUCUUUCUCUUCCUCCUGUCAGUAACUGCAGGUGUCCACUCUGAGGUCCAGCUGCAGCAGUCUGGAGCUGAGCUGUCGAUGCCUGGGGCCUCAGUGAAAAUGUCCUGCAAGGCUUCUGGCUACAGCUUCACCAGCUACUAUAUGAGCUGGGUAAAGCAGAGUUCUGGACAGGGUCUGGAAUGGAUUGGAUAUAUUCUUCCUGGAAGUAGUAGUAUUUACUACAAUGAGAAGUUCAAGGGCAAGGCCACCAUGACUGCAGACACAUCAUCCAACACAGCCUACUUGCAGCUCAGCAGCCUGACAUCUGAGGAUUCUGCGGUCUAUUACUGUGCAAGACACAGUGUUGUAACCACAUCCUGA